rnacentral:rRNA from 1 species
GGGUUGUGAGGUUAAGCGACUAAGCGUACACGGUGGAUGCCCUGGCAGUCAGAGGCGAUGAAGGACGUGCUAAUCUGCGAAAAGCGCCGGCGAGGUGAUAUGAACCCUUGACCCGGCGAUGUCCGAAUGGGGAAACCCAGUGCAAUCCGUUGCACUAUCGUUAACUGAAUACAUAGGUUAACGAGGCGAACCGGGGGAACUGAAACAUCUAAGUACCCCGAGGAAAAAAAAUCAACCGAGAUUCCCCCAGUAGCGGCGAGCGAACGGGGAGCAGCCCAGAGUCUGAAUCAGCUUGUGUGUUAGUGGAAGCGUCUGGAAAGUCGCACGGUACAGGGUGAAAGUCCCGUACACGAAAAUGCACAGGUUGUGAACUCGAAGAGUAGGGCGGGACACGUGGUAUCCUGUCUGAAUAUGGGGGGACCAUCCUCCAAGGCUAAAUACUCCUGACUGACCGAUAGUGAACCAGUACCGUGAGGGAAAGGCGAAAAGAACCCCGGCGAGGGGAGUGAAAAAGAACCUGAAACCGUGUACGUACAAGCAGUGGGAGCACCUUCGUGGUGUGACUGCGUACCUUUUGUAUAAUGGGUCAGCGACUUAUAUUCUGUAGCAAGGUUAACCGUAUAGGGGAGCCGAAGGGAAACCGAGUCUUAACUGGGCGUUAAGUUGCAGGGUAUAGACCCGAAACCCGGUGAUCUAGCCAUGGGCAGGUUGAAGGUUGGGUAACACUAACUGGAGGACCGAACCGACUAAUGUUGAAAAAUUAGCGGAUGACCUGUGGCUGGGGGUGAAAGGCCAAUCAAACCGGGAGAUAGCUGGUUCUCCCCGAAAGCUAUUUAGGU